rnacentral:lncRNA from 1 species
CAGAUACAUUAUUCUAUAAGAUAAUUUAAGAGAGAUACAUAAUUAUUAUGUAUCGAAUACAUGGAUCUGACAUAAAUAAUGUAUCUCCAUGUCAAUUUUUAUUUAUUGCACUAUUUUUUUUAUAUAUCAAUAAUACCUUUUUGAAGCACCAACUUUGUCUUUUGACACACCAAUAUUCCGCUAGUAAUGACAGAUACCUAAUGAAAUUCAUGAUACACUACUCUUCUUUAUCUCUAUUGAUUUUUUCAAGUAACAAUUCCGUGGGGGGCCGUCGUCGAAUUUGAUUUCCAUACUUUUAAAAAACUGAAAUCUUAUUUUUUUCACCUUUUCCUUUUCUUUUUUGCUUAAAUGGGGGAAAACGAAAAGGGGUAUUGAAUUAUACCAAGAAAAGUUGGUGGAUUAGAAGAUGAAAAAACUAUGUAAGAACAAAAACCAGUUGCUUCACAUCUCACGCAUCAAAUGCCAAACAAAAUUAUGUGAAAGCAAUUGGGUGGUGGCAGAGGAAAAGGGGCUUUUUAAUGAAG